AGCGAACGCUGGCGGCAGGCCUAACACAUGCAAGUCGAACGAACCCUUCGGGGUUAGUGGCGGACGGGUGAGUAACACGUGGGAACGUGCCUUUAGGUUCGGAAUAACCCAGGGAAACUGGUGCUAAUACCGAAUGUGCCCUCCGGGGGAAAAAUUUAUCGCCUUUAGAGCGGCCCGCGUCUGAUUUGCUAGUUGGUGAGGUAAAGGCUCACCAAGGCUACGAUCAGUAGCUGGUUUGAGAGGAUGACCAGCAUCACUGGGACUGAGACACGGCCCAGACUCCUACGGGAGGCAGCAGUGGGGAAUAUUGGACAAUGGGCGCAAGCCUGAUCCAGCCAUGCCGCGUGGAUGAUGAAGGCCCUAGGGUUGUAAAGUCCUUUUAACGGGGAAGAUAAUGACGGUACCCGUAGAAAAAGCCCCGGCUAACUUCGUGCCAGCCGCCGCGGUAACAC
rnacentral:rRNA from 1 species